GACAGAGGGCUCGAGCGUUAGGCGGAAUCACUGGGCUUAAAGCGUGUGUAGGCGGUUGUCUAAGUACCUUGUGAAAUCCCACAGCUUAACUGUGGAAUUGCUUGGUAUACUGGAUGUCUUGAGCCAGCUAGGGGCAACCGGAACAAAUGGUGGAGCGGUGAAAUGCGUAGAUAUCAUUUGGAACGCCAAUGGUGAAAACAGGUUGCUGGUGCUGUGCUGACGCUGAGACACGAAAGCCAGGGGAGCGAACGGG
rnacentral:rRNA from 1 species